AUGAAUCCAUUUGCCCCCAGGCACAGCUGGCCCCUGCAGACACCUGCAAUGGUGUGGCAGUUUGAGGAGUUCCUACACCACAGCAUGGGCCCCCAGCUGUACGGCACAUGCCACUACACUCUACCAUAUGGCACACCUGCCCAUGAAACAUCAUGCCCUGUCCUGUACUGGGUGCCCAACCAAAUAUUGUCCUCUGGUCCUCUAGAUUUGCACUGCAGGCCUGAUCUCCAAAUGAUGCAACACCAAAGGCCAACAAAACAGGCCCUCUGUGCUCUCAGCAGAACCUUGUCAUCACAGUCUUCUACAUUGGUCUCACUGGCCACGUGUGUCCCUACACAAGGGCCUGGUGACAUUGUCAUAUGUCCCAGCAUCCUUCAGGUAGGAAACCAGGUUUGGCUGCAGUCACAGUAUGUGAACCCUGGUGGUAUAAUGCCAAGCAAUUUGGGGCAGAUCCACACCUCCGGAGCACCCAUUUUCCCCCAGAAUGUGGAGCCACCUGAAUCUUGGAUCACUCCAGCUCCCAUCACAUCACGAGAGCUGUUGGACACUCCUAGUUGUGACAAGGACAUUCUUGAGGUCACCUCUCAGGAGGAGGUUAUAAAGAAUAUGCAGCGCAUGCCUGAGGGUCACUUGUCACAGACAGGCCAAGAGGGGGAGAACCCCAAGACAGCCCUGCAGCCACAGCCAGCUCACAGACGCCAGCCAAUCCAGAGGCCCCUGUCAGCCCAAAUACUUCAUCCAGUAAAGGAGCUUCAGUCAGCUCCAGUUACAUUGCAAGGGCUAUGGAACACUCUCAACGCUGGCAUGGACAUUUUUGAGGUCAGAGAAGGUAAUGAAGAUGAUGUGCCAAAGUGUGCCAAAGCUUCACCUGCUACAGAGAGGCUAAAGGGUAUAGGAUCUCUAGGCAGUUCAGGAAGCCCUGCAAACCCAAGGGCACCAGCCAGCACAGGAACAUGGGUCCGCACAGAGCCCCAGCCAGCCAAUACCGAUGCUUGUGUCCAGCUACAGACAUCCAACCACUUUGCUCCAGCAAAUGAUAGCUCUGAGAUAGAUUUCUUCUAUGAUGUGACCAACUUUGGGUAUCUGUGUGACUUUCAGGUGUUUGGCCAGCCAGUACUCUUUGUAGAGGACCAGAACAGCACUGAAGAUUCUGAAAGCUAG
rnacentral:lncRNA from 1 species